CCCGGGCCUUGUACACACCGCCCGUCACAUCACGAAAGUGGGUUGUACUAGAAGUCGCAAUCCUAACCCGAAAGGGGGGGUAGCGCCCAAGGUAUGACCCAUGAUUGGGGUG
rnacentral:rRNA from 1 species